GGGGGUGUCGCUCACUGGUAGAGCAUAUGCUUAGCAUGCACAAGGCCCUGGGUUCCAUCCCCCACACCCCCU
rnacentral:tRNA from 1 species